GGAAGAUGAGAAGCGGUAUUUUCUCACUCUAAAACUUAUGAGAUGAGUGUGUGCCCCAUCCCUGGUUAUGACACAUGGGCACUCUCAUUCUUAUCCAAUCAGAUUCC
rnacentral:snoRNA from 1 species